GAGGAACCUGCCUUGGAGAGGGGAAUAACACUCCGAAAGGAGUGCUAAUACCGCAUGAUGCAGUUGGGUCGCAUGGCUCUGACUGCCAAAGAUUUAUCGCUCUGAGAUGGCCUCGCGUCUGAUUAGCUAGUAGGCGGGGGUAACGGCCCACCUAGGCGACGAUCAGUAGCCGGACUGAGAGGUUGACCGGCCACAUUGGGACUGAGACACGGCCCAGACUCCUACGGAGGCAGCAUG
rnacentral:rRNA from 1 species